rnacentral:rRNA from 1 species
UGGGGAAUCUUGGACAAUGGGGGCAACCCUGAUCCAGCCAUGCCGCGUGAGUGAUGAAGGCCUUAGGGUCGUAAAGCUCUUUCGCCUGUGAAGAUAAUGACGGUAGCAGGUAAAGAAACCCCGGCUAACUCCGUGCCAGCAGCCGCGGUAAUACGGAGGGGGUUAGCGUUGUUCGGAAUUACUGGGCGUAAAGCGCACGUAGGCGGACCAGAAAGUUGGGGGUGAAAUCCCGGGGGCUCAACCCCCGGAACUGCCUCCAAAACUAUUGGUCUAGAGUUCGAGAGAGGUGAGUGGAAUUCCAAGUGUAGAGGUGAAAUUCGUAGAUAUUUGGAGGAACACCAGUGGCGAAGGCGGCUCACUGGCUCGAUACUGACGCUGAGGUGCGAAAAGUGUGGGGAGCAAAACAGGAUUAGAUACCCUGGUAGUCCACACCGUAAAACGAUGAAUGCCAGUCGUCGGGUAGCAUGCUAUUCGGUGACACACCUAACGGAUUAAGCAUUCCGCCUGGGGAGUACGGUCGCAAGAUUAAAA